CACAUCUUUGGCCUACAUGUAUUUCCUCAAGUUCCGACUUGGCCUGUGCAUUCCAUCGACGUGCGACAUCAAUGACGUGCGAAAGCUAGGCAGCCACUUUGGAAAACAGCUCAAGAUGAACAUCACAGUUCCCUGGUGCGAAGUUAAGGAGGACUACUCCUAUCCAUCGUAUUUCUACAUCGUCCUAGGGACAUUCCUCUUCUUUCUCUUUGUAACAUUUGUGGGCACUCUCCUGGACAUCGGACCUGGUCUCUGG